UACGGAGGAUCCAAGCGUUAUCCGGAUUUAUUGGGUUUAAAGGGUGCGUAGGCGGCCUAUUAAGUCAGGGGUGAAAGACGGUAGCUUAACUAUCGCAGUGCCUUUGAUACUGAUAGGCUUGAAUGUACUUGAGGUAGGCGGAAUGUGACAAGUAGCGGUGAAAUGCAUAGAUAUGUCACAGAACGCCAAUUGCGAAGGCAGCUUACUAAAGUAUGAUUGACGCUGAGGCACGAAAGCGUGGGGAUCAAACAGG
rnacentral:rRNA from 1 species